rnacentral:rRNA from 1 species
CGACCGGCGCACGGGUGCGUAACGCGUAUGCAACCUACCUUUAACAGGGGGAUAACACUGAGAAAUUGGUACUAAUACCCCAUAAUAUCAUAGAAGGUAUCUUUUAUGGUUGAAAAUUCCGAUGGUUAGAGAUGGGCAUGCGUUGUAUUAGCUAGUUGGUGGGGUAACGGCUCACCAAGGCGACGAUACAUAGGGGGACUGAGAGGUUAACCCCCCACACUGGUACUGAGACACAGACCAG